GACGAACCGUGCGAACGUUAUUCGGAAUCACUGGGCUUAAAGCGCGUGUAGGCGGGCCGCCGCGUCGGCUGCUGAAAUCCCCCGCUCAACCGGGGAACGGGCACCGAUACGGGCGGCCUCGAGGGGGGUAGGGGGCCUGGAACGUUCCGGUGGAGCGGUGAAAUGCGUUGAGAUCGGAAGGAACGCCCGUGGCGAAAGCGAGGCCCUGGACCCUUACUGACGCUGAGACGCGAAAGCCAGGGGAGCGAACGGG
rnacentral:rRNA from 1 species